rnacentral:rRNA from 1 species
AACGAACGCUGGCGGCAUGCCUAACACAUGCAAGUCGAACGAGCCCUUCGGGUCUAGUGGCGCACGGGUGCGUAACGCGUGGGAACCUGCCCUUAGGUUCGGAAUAACUCCCCGAAAGGGGUGCUAAUACCGGAUAAUGUCUUCGGACCAAAGAUUUAUCGCCUUUGGAUGGGCCCGCGUUGGAUUAGCUAGUUGGUAGGGUAAAAGCCUACCAAGGCGACGAUCCAUAGCUGGUCUGAGAGGAUGAUCAGCCACACUGGGACUGAGACACGGCCCAGACUCCUACGGGAGGCAGCAGUGGGGAAUAUUGGACAAUGGGCGAAAGCCUGAUCCAGCAAUGCCGGGUGAGUGAUGAAGGCCUUAGGGUUGUAAAGCUCUUUUACCCGGGAUGAUAAUGACAGUACCGGGAGAAUAAGCUCCGGCUAACUCCGUG